rnacentral:rRNA from 1 species
CCUACGGGAGGCAGCAGUGAGGAAUAUUGGUCAAUGGGCGGGAGCCUGAACCAGCCAAGUCGCGUGAGGGAAGACGGUCCUAUGGAUUGUAAACCUCUUUAGGCGGGGAGCAAUGCCGGGCCCGUGUGCCCGGAGGGAUAGUCCCCGCAUCAUACGCAUCGGCUAACUCCGUGCCAGCCGCCGCGGUAAUACGUAGGAUGCGAGCGGUAUCCGGAUUUAUUGGGUUUAAAGGGUGCGUAGGCGGAUUUUUAAGUCAGCGGUAAAAUGACCGGGCUCAACCCGGGCCGGCCGUUGAACUUGGGGAUCGUGAGUGGGCGAGAGGUGUGCGGAAUGCGUGGUGUAGCGGUGAAAUGCAUAGAUAUCACGCAGAACUCCGAUUGCGAAGGCAGCAUACCGGCGCCCGACUGACGCUGAGGCACGAAAGCGUGGGGAUCGAACAGGAUUAGAUACCCCUGUAGUC